ensembl:lncRNA
GCUCUAUAUAAAACCAUAUAUAAUAACAUACACAUAAGCUACACACAAAACUAUAUAUAACAUACAUAUAAGCUAUACAUAAGCUAUAUACAAUAUAUAUAAGCUAAUAUAUAAGCUAUACAUAAUAAUAAAUAAUAUAAGAUAUUAAGAGACAGAGACGGCUGUGCUUUAUUCUUCUAGAGCUAGGCUGUCACACCCAUGCCUCGGGGUUCUAGGGCCCCUGAGCAGUUUACGGGGUCUCUUGCCCACGGCCAGUAGCUCAUCCCAGGCUCCGCCCCCCUCCCCCUGACAUUGCUAGAUCCCAGGGACUUAGGCCCGGUUCCCAGCUAGCCAGUCAGCAACAGCUGACUUUUACAGGGGGCUAUUUAUCUCAAAGACAGCCAGAAACCAGGCGCAAGCACGCGCCCUGACCCCGGGGCACCCGCUGCCCCUGGCACGAUCCCGGUUUCCGGACACAGCCCUGCCUCAGCAAUACCAGCCCCGUAUCUCCGCAGGGUUCGGAAGGUCACCCAAAGGCAGCUUGCUCCCCGCUCCCCCAGGCCUCGGGGCUGGGCCGGCCGCAUUCCUACGGCUUGCCCUGCGGAGCGAUUCAAAACUCGCCAGGGGGGAGACUCCCCUCCCUUGGAGGGGAACGGAAAAAAAACCCCACGCAGAGGGCAAAGGCCGGAGGGCAAAGGCCGGAGGUCACGCCCGGUGGCGGUAGGAGCUUAUCGGGAGAAGGCUCCCAGACCUCACCGCGCCGUCUCUCACCUUGGGCCCUUGGUGAAAGCGGCAAAGCCCCGAAGCGGAGCGGCGGGGAAGACCAAGGCCGCGAGGGCCGGAGAAAUGCGCCCCUUUCUCUGCAAGCGUAGCCGGCUGAGCGGUUACCGCCUGUCACGCCGCACAGCCGUGCCGCGCUCACGAAGCUUCUGGGGGCCAACUCGCCGUCUGCCCGCCCGGAGCGCAUCGCGCGGGGAGCGCCCCCCCCGGCGCGGCGGAACUCCCUGCCGCGAGUCCGUUUCUGAGGGCGCCGGGAAGUGCUUCCCCGGCGCCUCUGUCACCCCCUCACGCGGUUCCUGGCCGACGAAAGGCCUGGAGAGACUUACACGAACUGAUGCUGAGUGAAAUGAGGAGGACCAGGAGAUCAUUAUAUACUUCAACAACAAUACUAUAUGAUGACCAGUUCUGAUGGACCUGGCCAUCCUCAGCAACAAGAUCAACCAAAUCAUUUCCAAUGGAGCAAUAAUAAACUGAACCAGCUAUGCCCAGAGAAAGAACUCUGGGAGAUGACUAAAAACCAUUACAUUGAAUUCCCAAUCCCUAUAUUUAUGCCCAUCUGCAUUUUUGAUUUCCUUCACAAGCUAAUUGUACAAUAUUUCAGAGUCUGAUUCUUUUUGUACAGCAAAAUAACGGUUUGGUCAUGUAUACUUAUUGUGUAUCUAAUUUAUAUUUUAAUGUAUUUAACAUCUACUGGUCAUCCUGCCAUCUGGGGGAGGGGGUGGGAGGUAAGAGGUGAAAAAUUGGAACAAGAGGUUUGGCAAUUGUUAACGCUGUAAAGUUACCCAUGCAUAUAACCUGUAAAUAAAAGGCUAUUAAAUUUAAAAAAAAAAAAAUACAUGAGAUCCUCAAAACAAUUUUUUAAAGUUGGUAUUAAGUGCCAUUUUCUGUAACGAGACAGAAGACAAUUCCAAAAUAAACAGUAAAUGUUUAGGGUUGAUGGAGAUAUGGGAGAGAAUGGACUAUAUUUUAUUCUAAUUAUAGAGGUGGAGGGAGAUAGAGACAGAUAUCCAUCAUGCCAUAACUUUUACCAAAAUGUUCUCAGAGUUCUUAUAAGCCUCUUAGUACAAGCUAUUCCUCUUUUAGUCACUGUAAGUUUGUCAUCCUGUAUUACCUUCUGAAAGAGCAAAAUACUUCCAAACAGUACAUGAGUAAACAUAAACAGAUCCCUAAGUCCAAAGAAAUUAAUUCAGAUAACCUAGUUUCUUCAGGAACUUAUUUCUGUUUUAGUAGCUUUGAUGAGGCUGAGCCCUGUGAUCUUCCAAUCUAGCCACAGAGGCCCCCGACAGGUGGCUUUAUGAGGAUGUUGUAGGAGUGUGUGUGUAUAUUGUGUGUGUGUGUGUGUGUGUGUGUGUGUGUGUAUGUAUGUGAGAGAGAGACAAGAGCCAAGAUAAACAAUUGUGUGUCAAGAGAAUUUUAUGACUCUUUCUAUGAUACUGGUCCAAACACACAAAGUAGAAUCUCUAGUUUGAUAUAAGAGAUGCACAUACUUGAUAUAGAAGGCCAUCUUUUUGUUCUGUGGAAUAAAAGCCAGUGGGCCUGUAAUUUAUUUCCCAGAGAAACUCUGGUAUUCUGUUCUGUGUCUUCAAAUGGAAAGCUAGCAAAGUUCAAUUCUUUUAUAACUGGCAAACUGCACAGCUCAAACAGCCUUCUAACAAUUAAAGUUAACGUCUGGUUUAUUAUUGUUUGUUUUUUUAGUAAUGUCAAAUUCUUUAUGACCCUGUUGGGAUUUUCUUGGCAAAGGUAAUAGACCUCCUCCAGGUCAUCUUACAGACGACUGAGCUAAACAGGGUUAAGUGACUGUCCAAGAUCACAGAGCUAAUAAGUGUCUAAAAUCAGAUUAAAACUCAGGAAUAUGAGUCUUCUUGACUCCAACCCCAGCUCUCUAUCCCUUGUACCACUUAGCUGCCCUAAUUUCUAGUUUUAACACCAUAUAAAUUGAAGUAUGGCAUAUUCAUUUUGCUUUAUAUGGCAGAGACAUUUUUACAUAUGCAUGUGUAUAUGUAUAUUAUAAACAUAUUAUAUAACAUAUGUGUGUAUCUGCCAUUAAAAUUAUUUUAAAAACCAAAAUGGACACUUUGGAGUGGCUAUUUAGCCUAUUUAUUAUAUAUGAGUUUAGCCCUCUGUGAAAAGUAGAAUAGACGAAAAAAUUGAGAUGUAUCUUGAUGCAAGAUAAUAGGGCCAUUGAGCUGGAGCUAAAAGAGACCUUAGAAAUGAUCUAGUCCAACCUCCUCUUUAAUAGGUAAGUAAACUGAGAAUUGGAGAAUUUAAGUGAGUUUCCCCAAGGUCAUGGUGGCAGUAAAGGG